GACGAACGCUGGCGGCGUGCCUAAUACAUGCAAGUUGAGCGCUGAAGGUUGGUACUUGUACCAACUGGAUUAGCAGCGAACGGGUGAGUAACGCGUGGGGAAUCUGCCUUUGAGCGUGGGACAACAUUUGGAAACGAAUGCUAAUACCGCAUAAAAACUUUAAACACAAGUUUUAAUUUUGAAAGAUGCAAUUGCUUCACUCAAAGAUGAUCCCGCGUUGUAUUAGCUAGUUUGUUAGGUAAAGGCUUACCAAGGCGAAGAUACAUAGCCGACCUGAGAGGGUGGUCGGCCAAAUUGGGACUGAGACAAGGCCCAAAAUCCUAAGGGAGGCAGCAGUAGGGAAACUUUGGCAAUGGACGAAAGUCUGACCGAGCAACGCCGGGUGAGUGAAGAAGGUUUUCGGAUCGUAAAACUCUGUUGGUAGAGAAGAAAGUUGGUGAGAGUGGAAAGCUCAUCACGUGACGGUAACUAACCAGAAAGGGACGGCUAACUACGUG
rnacentral:rRNA from 1 species